CACAUAUCUAGGGGUACGCCUCACAGCUAACCCAGCUACACUUUUCCACAGCAACUAUACACCUCUCUUCCGAACUCUGACAGGAGAUCUGGAGAAAUGGAUAGAUAAACCCAUUUCAUGGAUAGGGUGCCUACACUCCAUAAAAAUUAAUAUAUUACCUAGGUUACUGUUCUUGUUCCAGGCACUACCUAUAAAAGACACUAAAGGGGACCUCGCUAACGUACAG